GCAGCAUGUCAUGGUUUCAGGGAGGAUUUUACAUACUCCCCCUUUCUCAGCUAGAAUCAUAUCUAGGGCCAUUCUGUUCUGGAAUGUCAUUUGGGUAGUGGCUUGUAGUUGCUCUGCCAGGCCCUGUAGGGCAUCCCUUGUGUAGUUGACAAAGCGUUGCUGAUUAUAAUAGAUAUAGUUAAUCCAGUUGACAUUCUUGUU